rnacentral:rRNA from 1 species
CAGUCGCCGCGGUAAUACGAGGGGUCAAGCGUUGUUCGGAAUUAUUGGGCGUAAAGGGUGCGUAGGCGGUUUGGCAAGUUUGGUGUGAAAUCUUCGGGCUCAACUCGAAGUCUGCAUCGAAAACUGCCGGGCUUGAGUAUGGGAGAGGUGAGUGGAAUUUCCGGUGUAGCGGUGAAAUGCGUAGAUAUCGGAAGGAACACCUGUGGCGAAAGCGGCUCACUGGACCAUAACUGACGCUGAUGCACGAAAGCUAGGGGAGCAAACAGGAUUAGAUACCCCUGUAGUCCCUGUCUCUUAUACA